AUGCUUGCUUCGACAGCAAUGAAAGGAUGCAGAGAAGAUUAGCAUGGCCCCUGUGCAAGGAUGACACACAAAUUCAUGAAGCGCUCCAUACUUUU
ensembl:snRNA U6 U6 spliceosomal RNA